rnacentral:miRNA from 1 species
AUCGCUGACCUUUGUGUUCCAG